GGGAACCAGAGAUUCAGAUAUGUUGAAUCCUCUUUUGCCUAUGAAUGAAUGCCAUUUUGAGGAGAAGAUUCUCUGCUAUCUUAACACGUGUAGAUAUUUGGAGGUCUCUGAAAGUGCUGAGGACCAGAGCCCUCUGGAAGCUGGUGGCUGGCUUGGCGAUACACAUUUGGUUUUCCUUACCAAACAGCAGAUAUUUUCCCAGGGGUGGAAUUGGCAGGGGAUGAAUGCCAUGUGAAGAGGAAGCAAUUCGCCGUGUAUUUACUACUCUGAGAUGUAAGGGAAUCCCUGGAAGAUCUGUGAAUUUUGGAGAUGCUCAUGAUGUCACUUAUGAAUUAACACAAUUUCGAGGAGAAGAUUCUCUGCUUCUCUUCACACCUCUGAAAGCACUGAGGACCAAAGACCUCUGGAAACUGGUUGAACUGGCAGGGAAUGAAUGCCAUGUUACGGGAAUGCACUUCAACAUGUGUUUACUACCCUGA
rnacentral:lncRNA from 1 species